UACAGAGGUCUCAAGCGUUGUUCGGAUUCAUUGGGCGUAAAGGGUGCGUAGGUGGCGGGGUAAGUCUGGUGUGAAAUCUUGGAGCUUAACUCCGAAACUGCAUUCGAUACUGCCGUGCUUGAGGACUGGAGAGGAGACUGGAAUUUACGGUGUAGCGGUGAAAUGCGUAGAUAUCGUAAGGAAGACCAGUGGCGAAGGCGGGUCUCUGGACAGUUCCUGACGCUGAGGCACGAAGGUCAGGGGAGCAAACGGG
rnacentral:rRNA from 1 species